rnacentral:rRNA from 1 species
UACAGAGGUCCCAAGCGUUUGUUCGGAUUCACUGGGCGUAAAGGGUGCGCAGGUGGGUUGGCAAGUUCGAUGUGAAAGCCCCGGGCUUAACCCGGGAAUGGCAUUGGAUACUGCUGAUCUGGAGGAUCGGAGGGGGGACUGGAAUUCUUGGUGUAGCAGUGAAAUGCGUAGAUAUCAAGAGGAACACCAGUGGCGAAGGCGAGUCCCUGGACGAUACCUGACACUGAGGCACGAAAGCCAAGGGAGCAAACAGG